GACGAACGCUGGCGGCGUGCCUAAUACAUGCAAGUAGAACGCUGAAGAGAGGAGCUUGCUCUUCUUGGAUGAGUUGCGAACGGGUGAGUAACGCGUAGGUAACCUGCCUUGUAGCGGGGGAUAACUAUUGGAAACGAUAGCUAAUACCGCAUAACAAUGGAUGACACAUGUCAUUUAUUUGAAAGGGGCAAUUGCUCCACUACAAGAUGGACCUGCGUUGUAUUAGCUAGUAGGUGAGGUAACGGCUCACCUAGGCGACGAUACAUAGCCGACCUGAGAGGGUGAUCGGCCACACUGGGACUGAGACACGGCCCAGACUCCUACGGGAGGCAGCAGUAGGGAAUCUUCGGCAAUGGGGGCAACCCUGACCGAGCAACGCCGCGUGAGUGAAGAAGGUUUUCGGAUCGUAAAGCUCUGUUGUAAGUCAAGAACGAGUGUGAGAGUGGAAAGUUCACACUGUGACGGUAGCUUACCAGAAAGGGACGGCUAACUACGUGCCAGCAGCCGCGGUAAUACGUAGGUCCCGAGCGUUGUCCGGAUUUAUUGGGCGUAAAGCGAGCGCAGGCGGUUUGAUAAGUCUGAAGUUAAAGGCUGUGGCUCAACCAUAGUUCGCUUUGGAAACUGUCAAACUUGAGUGCAGAAGGGGAGAGUGGAAUUCCAUGUGUAGCGGUGAAAUGCGUAGAUAUAUGGAGGAACACCGGUGGCGAAAGCGGCUCUCUGGUCUGUAACUGACGCUGAGGCUCGAAAGCGUGGGGAGCGAACAGGAUUAGAUACCCUGGUAGUCCACGCCGUAAACGAUGAGUGCUAGGUGUUGGAUCCUUUCCGGGAUUCAGUGCCGCAGCUAACGCAUUAAGCACUCCGCCUGGGGAGUACGACCGCAAGGUUGAAACUCAAAGGAAUUGACGGGGGCCCGCACAAGCGGUGGAGCAUGUGGUUUAAUUCGAAGCAACGCGAAGAACCUUACCAGGUCUUGACAUCCCGAUGCUAUUUCUAGAGAUAGAAAGUUACUUCGGUACAUCGGUGACAGGUGGUGCAUGGUUGUCGUCAGCUCGUGUCGUGAGAUGUUGGGUUAAGUCCCGCAACGAGCGCAACCCCUAUUGUUAGUUGCCAUCAUUCAGUUGGGCACUCUAGCGAGACUGCCGGUAAUAAACCGGAGGAAGGUGGGGAUGACGUCAAAUCAUCAUGCCUCUUAUGACCUGGGCUACACACGUGCUACAAUGGUUGGUACAACGAGUUGCGAGUCGGUGACGGCAAGCUAAUCUCUUAAAGCCAAUCUCAGUUCGGAUUGUAGGCUGCAACUCGCCUACAUGAAGUCGGAAUCGCUAGUAAUCGCGGAUCAGCACGCCGCGGUGAAUACGUUCCCGGGCCU
rnacentral:rRNA from 1 species